rnacentral:lncRNA from 10 species
CCGUGACAAAACACUGCCUUUAUAUUAUUUAGCAAUAUGUUGUAAAUAGCAUUAUUAAGCUCUUUUUUGUAAUAAAGACCCUUUGAUUUGAAUAUAGUACAAUAACUGAACUGAUAAAGUCAAUUUUUGAUUUUUGUUUGUUUUUUUUAGCUAGAGGCAAUUUCAAUUGUGAAUUUUUGUUGUUGUCUAUUGUUCUGAAGACUUUGCAUAAUUUAUUGGUUUAAUUUAUCCUAAUUUAUUUGAUGAAGGUGUACAAUUUUGUAUUACCAAGGAUGUACUGUAAUAUUAAUUGAUAUGAUAAACACAAUGAGACUCCCUGUCCAUAUUAAAAAGAAAAUAAAAAGGUGCAGUAGACAAUUGAUUUUAAAGGAAAAGUUAAAAAAAUUAGUUUGGCAGCUACUAAAUUUUAAAACAGGAAAAAAAAAAGUUGUUGUGGGGAGGGUGGGAAAGGGGUUUUACUUUGUGUGUUUUAAGCUUUUGUAUACUCUCCAAACUUUUACCUUUUGCUUUGUACCACUUAAAGGAUACAGUAGUCCAAUUGCCUUGUGUGCCUUCCAUCUCCUCUUAAACUGAAUGUAUGUGCAGUAUAUAUGCAAGCUUGUGCAAAAUAAAAUAUACAUUACAAGCUCAUCUCGCUCUGUUGCCCAGGCUGGAGUGCAGUGGCACAAUCUCGGCUCACUGCAGCCUCUACCCCCAGGUUCAAGCGAUUCUCCUGCCUCAGCCUCCUGAGUAGCUGGGAUUACAGCAUGCACCACCACAUCCAGCAAUUUUUUUUUAUUUUAGAGACAGGAUCUCACUAUGUUGCCCAGGAUGAUCUCAAACUCCUGGCCUCAAGCAAUCCUCUCAUCUUUGCCUCCCAAACUGCUGGGAUUAGAAGCUUGAGCCACCAUG